rnacentral:rRNA from 1 species
AUGUGAUCGUCUCUCGCAUAUCAAUAAGCGGAGGAAAAGAAACUAACAAGGAUUCCCCUAGUAACGGCGAGUGAAGCGGGAAGAGCUCAAAUUUGAAAUCUUAAAGGGUUUCCCUUUACGAAUUGUAGUUUAAAGAAGUGUUUUCUGUUGAGGUUUUGGUAAAAGUUCUUUGGAAUUGGACAUCAUAGAGGGUGAGAAUCCCGUAUUUGACCUUUACUUUCAACUUUGUGAUACACUUUCAAAGAGUCGGAUUGUUUGGGAAUGCAGUCCAAAAUGGGUGGUAAAUUUCAUCUAAAGCUAAAUAUUGGCGAGAGACCGAUAGCGAACAAGUACCGUGAGGGAAAGAUGAAAAGAACUUUGAAAAGAGAGUUAAACAGUACGUGAAAUUGUCAAAAGGGAAGCGUUUGACACCAGUGUUGUUUUUCUGAAAAUCAAUUAAAGAACUGUUUAUGCUAAGCUGUUUAGACUUUAUCAGCUAUCUGUUUAGUUUUGAGCUUUUCUUUAAUGCACUUUUCAGUUAACAAGUCAACAUCAAUUUCUUUUGCUGUAAAAAAGCUUGAGGAAGGUGGCUUGAGAUUCGUCUUAAGUGUUUAUAGCCUCUUGCCUAUGCAGUCGGAGAGAUUGAGGUCUGCAGCGUAGAUCCUUCGGGGCUAAAUGCAUUUGUGCUAAGUUAUAGCAUUUUAUAGACAACUUGUUGACUAUGAUUUGUCUUGUAGCUUACUCGCUUAUGUUAUUUUACCUACGCUUAGGAUGUUGAGUCAUCACACAUCUCU